AUAGCACCGAAGGAAAGACACCAAGUUGUUCCGCGAUUCAGAGUUCCCAAGUAUGAUAAUGUUGGAUACAUUUAUACCAUUUUAGCCACAACUAUAAGCAUGAAAUUUCUACGGAUCUCCAGAAGUGUGGGUGUUUUCCAACAAUGUAUU